rnacentral:rRNA from 1 species
ACUCCUACGGGAGGCAGCAGUGAGGAAUAUUGGUCAAUGGAGGGAACUCUGAACCAGCCAUCCCGCGUGUAGGAAGACGGCCUUAUGGGUUGUAAACUACUUUUAUACAGGAAGAAACGUACCCGUCGUGAGGUGCCUGACGGUACUGUAGGAAUAAGCACCGGCUAACUCCGUGCCAGCAGCCGCGGUAAUACGGAGGGUGCGAGCGUUAUCCGGAUUUAUUGGGUUUAAAGGUCCGUAGGCGGAUUAAUAAGUCAGUGGUGAAAUCCCAUCGCUUAACGAUGGAACUGCCAUUGAUACUGUUAGUCUUGAAUGAGGGUGCAGUGGUUGGAAUGUGUAGUGUAGCGGUGAAAUGCAUAGAUAUUACACAGAACACCGAUUGCGAAGGCAGAUCACUAACCCUAAAUUGACGCUGAGGGACGAAAGCGUGGGGAGCGAACAGGAUUAGAUA